rnacentral:rRNA from 1 species
UGUCGUCAGCUCGUGUUGUGAAAUGUUGGGUUAAGUCCCGCAACGAGCGCAACCCUUAUCCUUUGUUGCCAGCGGUCCGGCCGGGAACUCAAAGGAGACUGCCAGUGAUAAACUGGAGGAAGGUGGGGAUGACGUCAAGUCAUCAUGGCCCUUACGACCAGGGCUACACACGUGCUACAAUGGCGCAUACAAAGAGAAGCGACCUCGCGAGAGCAAGCGGACCUCAUAAAGUGCGUCGUAGUCCGGAUUGGAGUCUGCAACUCGACUCCAUGAAGUCGGAAUCGCUAGUAAUCGUGGAUCAGAAUGCCACGGUGAAUACGUUCCCGGGCCUUGUACACACCGC